rnacentral:rRNA from 1 species
GCUGGCGGCGUGCCUAAUACAUGCAAGUCGAGCGGACCGACGGGAGCUUGCUCCCUUAGGUCAGCGGCGGACGGGUGAGUAACACGUGGGUAACCUGCCUGUAAGACUGGGAUAACUCCGGGAAACCGGGGCUAAUACCGGAUGCUUGAUUGAACCGCAUGGUUCAAUCAUAAAAGGUGGCUUUUAGCUACCACUUGCAGAUGGACCCGCGGCGCAUUAGCUAGUUGGUGAGGUAACGGCUCACCAAGGCGACGAUGCGUAGCCGACCUGAGAGGGUGAUCGGCCACACUGGGACUGAGACACGGCCCAGACUCCUACGGGAGGCAGCAGUAGGGAAUCUUCCGCAAUGGACGAAAGUCUGACGGAGCAACGCCGCGUGAGUGAUGAAGGUUUUCGGAUCGUAAAACUCUGUUGUUAGGGAAGAACAAGUACCGUUCGAAUAGGGCGGUACCUUGACGGUACCUAACCAGAAAGCCACGGCUAACUACGUGCCAGCAGCCGCGGUAAUACGUAGGUGGCAAGCGUUGUCCGGAAUUAUUGGGCGUAAAGCGCGCGCAGGCGGUUUCUUAAGUCUGAUGUGAAAGCCCCCGGCUCAACCGGGGAGGGUCAUUGGAAACUGGGGAACUUGAGUGCAGAAGAGGAGAGUGGAAUUCCACGUGUAGCGGUGAAAUGCGUAGAGAUGUGGAGGAACACCAGUGGCGAAGGCGACUCUCUGGUCUGUAACUGACGCUGAGGCGCGAAAGCGUGGGGAGCGAACAGGAUUAGAUACCCUGGUAGUCCACGCCGUAAACGAUGAGUGCUAAGUGUUAGAGGGUUUCCGCCCUUUAGUGCUGCAGCAAACGCAUUAAGCACUCCGCCUGGGGAGUACGGUCGCAAGACUGAAACUCAAAGGAAUUGACGGGGGCCCGCACAAGCGGUGGAGCAUGUGGUUUAAUUCGAAGCAACGCGAAGAACCUUACCAGGUCUUGACAUCCUCUGGCAACCCUAGAGAUAGGGCUUC